UUUCUAUGAUCAAUCAAACUAGCUCACUAUGAUUUUCCAAUGAAAAUAUACCAACGCCCGAGAAGC